GGACUACGGGGGUAUCUAAUCCCUUUCGCUCCCCUAGCUUUCGUCCAUGAGCGUCAGGUUUGGUCCAGUAGAACGCCUUCGCUGCUGGUGUUCUUCCCAAUAUCUACGCAUUUCACCGCUACACUGGGAAUUCCUUCUACCCCUACCUACCUCUAGUCUCGCAGUUUCCAUCCCCUUUAUGGAGUUAAGCUCCACGCUUUAAAGACAGACUUACGAGACCGCCUGCGGACGCUUUACGCCCAAUAAUUCCGGAUAACGCUUGCAUCCUCCGUCUUACCGCGGCUGCUGACAC
rnacentral:misc_RNA from 1 species